rnacentral:sRNA from 1 species
CUCCUGGGAAGAUGGCGCUGCACUUCCAGAGUUUGGCUGAGUUGGAAGUGUUGUGUACUCAUCUCUACAUAGGGACUGAUCUUACACAAAGAAUAGAGGCUGAGAAAGCACUCUUGGAACUUAUUGACAGUCCAGAAUGUCUCAGCAAGUGUCAACUUUUAUUAGAACAAGGAACAACAUCCUAUGCUCAGCUCCUUGCAGCAACAUGUCUUUCAAAACUUGUCAGCCGAGUCAGUCCUUUACCUGUUGAGCAGAGGAUGGACAUCAGAAACUACAUUCUGAAUUACGUGGCAUCACAGCCCAAGCUGGCUCCCUUUGUCAUCCAAGCUCUUAUUCAAGUCAUUGCUAAAAUCACUAAGUUGGGGUGGUUUGAGGUUCAGAAAGACCAAUUUGUCUUCAGAGAAAUUAUUGCUGAUGUGAAGAAGUUUCUCCAGGGUACUGUGGAACACUGCAUAAUAGGAGUAAUAAUCCUUUCUGAAUUGACUCAGGAAAUGAACCUGGUUGAUUAUUCUAGACCUUCAGCAAAACACAGGAAAAUAGCUACCUCAUUUCGUGAUACUUCUCUCAAAGACGUUUUAGUGCUAGCAUGCUCUCUUUUAAAACAGGUAAGUUAUUUGAUAAUUCAACUCCCUAGUUAGAAUAUUUGGGAAAUUUUAAGAGUUUCAAAAGAAUUUCAGUUGAAUUUUCCCCCCAAUUUUGCCUUUUAAAGAAUUAUUGUGGACAGACUUAUGUAUAGUAAAUUUGCAUAAGUCUGUAAGCAGUUCCAAAAAAUUUACUUCUACUCACUGGGCAUAUGAUAAGGUGAAAUCCAAAGGGAAUCUAAUAACUUAUCUUUAGGCAGUAGUUUCAUUGCCUUCCCAGUGUAGAUUCUUUAAUUAUAGAAGCUAAUUGAGUAUUAGUUUCUUUAUCUGCUUGCUUAUAUUUUGAUAGGAUGCAGAUGAAAAAUGAAAUGACAAUAUUUUCCUGAUUCAUCAACUAUCAAAAUUUAUUCAUAGUUUAGCCAAGAUCGUUGACUUUAACAACUUCUUUGGGAAAUAGUAUUUCUCCAUUUGCUACUUAGUGCCCUAUUGAAUAUUAGUGAUAGCAUGAUUCGUAAUGAUACUGUAUUCUCUUGUAUAAUAUAGGGACUCCAUCAUGCUAUUCAAGCUUGAUAAUUGGUGUAAUAUAGCAUUUCUGACAGUAUGCUCCAAUAAGCACUAGUUUCCAAUUAUUUCAAUUCUUUGGUAUAGUAACAUGACAACUGCCACACUAUGUCAGACCCAAAGACCUUCUAUUAUCUUAAAAUUUUUCUUUUAACACAGAAAAUUUUAAUAUACACGAAAGUAGAUAGAAUAGUAUAACCAGUUGACCUGUCAGCCAGUUAAACAGUAGCAACCCACGGCCAAUCUUGUUUUCUCUCUAUUCCUGCCUACCUACUUCUUUUUAUAUUACUCUUCAAGCAGAAUCCCAAAUUUCAUAUAAUUUCCUCUAUAAAUAUUUCACAGUAUAUCUAAAAGGUAUAAUUGUUUUUGGUUUGUGUGAGAAUGGGCAUUAUUUUGGAAAUAGGAUUGUUCUCCAGAAGCUUUGUGAGUGUCCUCCAACAUUCAGAGUUCUGAUUGCCUUUAUUAGCUGAAUGUGAUUCUUUUAUGCAUGAAGUUAACCCAGUUUUUCUUGAAGAAGGUAACAUUACUUCCUCAUAUAUGGAACAGUAUAACUUUGUAAACCCUUUUACUAGUUUUCAUUUGACAUUGAAAAAUUAUUUUAAUUCAUGAAGUGUAAAUUUAUUGAUGUAUUUCACAGUGUUUUAUUUGAUUUUGUACUUUUUUCAGGUGUUGGCCAAACCUUUAAAUCUUCAGGAUCAAUGUCAGCAAAAUCUGGUAAUGCAGGUCUUGAAACUGGUCCUUAACUGCCUUAACUUUGACUUCAUUGGCAGUUCAGCAGAUGAAUCUGCAGAUGAUCUUUGCACGGUGCAGAUUCCAACAACUUGGAGAACAAGUAAGAAAAAAGUUUGGUAUGAAGGGUCAUCAACAUAAAGACACAGUAUUAAGCAAUAUAGUUCCCCUGUGUAUAGUUAUCUUUUUGCUAGGAAUUAAAAAAAGAGCUCAAAUGGAUUUGUAACCUGAAGUAGCUGCUGAUGGCUAAUGUUGAAAUGUUUUCUGUAAUUCAUAUUAUAGUAACUUCUAUAUUUUGAUUUAGGAAAAAA